AAUAAUUUGACCCAAGAAUCUAUAUGCAUUCCCACAACUAAAACGUAAACAUACAUUGAGAUACCAAACCAAAUCCAAAACAUAUUUAUCUUCGCUGAAAUAUGUAAAGCAAUGAAUCAAGAGUUUAGUUGUAGGAAACAUCCAUUUCAAUCAGAAUUAUCAGAUCCCAUUAAACAAGAAAACCAUAGUCACCAAAAAAUUCUCAAAAUUGACAUUACUCGUUAAAAAUAAUCCAAGUUACUCCAAAAAAACAAAGCAUUUAGGACAUAGUUAAUCAUAAAUUGCACAGCACCAAAAUUUUCCAACAUGCUUAAACUAAAACCAAAGCCUCCAUAGCUGCAGCAAAACGGUAUAAAAGGAAAUAGAAGUAAGACUUCCAACAUUUAAAACCUCCCCCCUGGUCUACCACCAGCGCCACCUCUACCAAAUCCGAACUGGGUCACGGGAACAGCAACCGGGUCGACCUGAACAAUCCCAGGAAUAUCACCCAUACCCAGAGCAGAAAGCAUGUCAAUAGUCUCCUUAUCGACCUCAAUCUGAUCAGUCUUGAUGGCGGAGACCUCAGGAACAAAGUCCAUGCGGCGCUCGCGCUCUUCCUCCUGAAGCUUAAGCGAGAUCCCGCGAACGGGUCCCUUCUGGAUCCGCUUCAUGAGAUGGGUAGAAAACCCAGCAAUCUUGUUGCGGAGGCGCUUUGAAGGGAUGAUAGCGACCUCCUCAAGAAUCUUCUUGUUGGUGUGGAAGUCGAGGGUCAUGCGAGAGUAGUAGCGCUCUAUCACUUGGCGUGAGGAUUUCUUCACAGUCUUGGUACGGACGCGUCCCAUUUUUUGUGGUGGCUCCUUCCAAUUACAGACGCUCUCUGCGCAGGGUGGGUGGGUGCAGCGGCCGCAGACAAGGAAUAGGGUAUAAGGUUUUGUUAGUAUAUAUGACUAAUGGGCA
rnacentral:misc_RNA from 1 species